rnacentral:piRNA from 1 species
UCGAGUUGCAGGUAUGCAAAUAGGCCUU